rnacentral:rRNA from 1 species
ACUACUACCUAUCGAGGAGGGGGACGUAACCCGGCGAAAGUCGGACUAAUACCGCAUGAAGCAGGGGCCCCGCAUGGGGAUAUUUGCUAAAGAUUCAUCGCUGAUAGAUAGGCAUGCGUUCCAUUAGGCAGUUGGCGGGGUAACGGCCCACCAAACCGACGAUGGAUAGGGGUUCUGAGAGGAAGGUCCCCCACAUUGGUACUGAGACACGGACCAA